AGAGGGUGCUAUAAAUUGUCAAACCUAGAGAAAAAAUAACAAGUUUGAAAUGGGGGAAGAGACGGGAAAGACUGGGAGAGGGAAGGCGGCGUCUGGUUCCAGAGGGUCUCCAUACCUAAGGUGUAGUGAGGAAGCUUUUAUAUUCCACGCGAAAUAAUUCAAUUAGGGGAGUCUUUCUGAAGCUCCAACCAGAAAGAUCCGUACUGUCAAAGUGUCUAGUUGACAUUUUUUUUCCUGCAAACAUAAGAUGGGUUGAAUGCCCGGCCCAUGGUUCUAAACCUGGAUAUCUGGUAUCGUUCAUGCAGGUACCAAUGGCCGGACUGAGAAAUCCAUGCCUCGACUGGGAAGCAGGAACGAGCCCGACAUGUUUAUGGCCUGAGUUGGAUCGGUUUGAUUAAUAAACGUGUCAAACCUAAUAUGCUUAUAAAUCUGUAGUGCAUGGUUAUCCACC